rnacentral:rRNA from 1 species
UUCUCCUAAAGACUAAGCCAUGCAUGCCUUCGAAUAGAAGACGCAAUCUCUCUGAAUCUGCGAACGGCUCCGCAUACCAGUUGUAAACCAUAGCAAGCCAACCUUGGGAAGACCCGAUCAAAAGGGAUGACCCUUGGUUGAAUAAGGAUACCCAUGGUAAUUCUGAGGCUAAUACAAGUAUAUAACGACUUGGUCAACCGGGAAACUGGAAGGCUGGGGGUCGUGUGAAGCUUAACUGCAACACCGACCUAGGAAACGAUGCACAAUCAGACCACCACACAAACGGUCUCGUUCUGAGGCAAGUACCUUCGGGGAAAGCCAAAGGGCUUGACUGGGUGGCUCUUGCUUUGUGCUUCUGACCUAUCAACUCGAUGGCAGCGUAAGGGACAUGCUAUGGUUACAACGGGUACAGAGGAUAAGGGUUCGAUCCUGGAGAGUGGGCCUGAGAGAUUGCUCACACUUCUAAGGAAGGCAGCAGGCGCGCAACGUUCCCAAUGGGUAACACCUGAGGGCGUUAGGGGACAUAUGAAUGCCUGCCAUUAGGUGGGCAAUUCAAAUGGGACUGAUGCAAACAGCCCAUCGAGUAACAAUUAGAGGACAAGUCUGGUGCCAGCACCCGCGGUAAUUCCAGCUCUAAUAGCAUACGUUAAAGUUGUUGCGGUUAAAACGCUCGUAGUCGCCACCAGACCUUCAGAAACCUUCCAUUGCGAUGUGGGUCAGCUGCUCUGUUUCAACAAAACGGGCGCGCCACUGAGCUCUGAGGGCAGACGUCGGUCAAUCGUACUUUUGGUCACCUGGGUUACUUCGGUUUCCCGGUUAAAAGGCUAUCCGUAUCUGAGGCUCCGGCUGAGGGUACGGGUGGUUGGCUGACUGUACCGUUUACUAUGACCAAACUGGAGUGCUCAAAGCCGGUCACUUUGAUCACUACAGCGCAGCAUAGUAUAACGAUACCCAGGACAGUACGUUGCAGGUACUGGACUGGGUAAAAGAUUAAGGGAUGUUCGAGGGUGACCGAAUUACUGGGCGAGUGGUGAAAUACGUUGACCCUAGUAAGUCGACCAAAGGCGAAAGCAGUCAUCAAGGGCAUACCCGAUGAUCAAGAGCGAAAGUUAAGGGUUCGAAGACGAU